rnacentral:rRNA from 1 species
UACGUAGGUGGCAAGCGUUGUCCGGAUUUACUGGGCGUAAAGAGCGCGUAGGCGGUUCAACAAGUCCAUGGUGAAAUCUCCCGGCUUAACCGGGAGGGGUCUGUGGAUACUGUUGGACUUGAGUGCCGUAGAAGAAGGUGGAAUUCCCGGUGUAGUGGUGAAAUGCGUAGGUAUCGGGAGGAACACCAGUGGCGAAAGCGGCCUUCUAGACGGUAACUGACGCUGAGGCGCAAAAGCGUGGGGAGCGAACCGG